rnacentral:rRNA from 1 species
GUGGGGAAUUUUGGACAAUGGGCGCAAGCCUGAUCCAGCAAUGCCGCGUGCAGGAAGAAGGCCUUCGGGUUGUAAACUGCUUUUGUACGGAACGAAACGGUUCUGGUUAAUACCCGGGGCUAAUGACGGUACCGUAAGAAUAAGCACCGGCUAACUACGUGCCAGCAGCCGCGGUAAUACGUAGGGUGCAAGCGUUAAUCGGAAUUACUGGGCGUAAAGCGUGCGCAGGCGGUUGUGUAAGACAGGCGGGAAAUCCCCGGUCUCAACCUGGGAAUUGCGCUUGUGACUGCACGGCUGGAGUGCGGCAGAGGGGGAUGGAAUUCCGCGUGUAGCAGUGAAAUGCGUAGAUAUGCGGAGGAACACCGAUGGCGAAGGCAAUCCCCUGGGCCUGCACUGACGCUCAUGCACGAAAGCGUGGGGAGCAAACAGGAUUAGAUACCCGAGUAGUCC